rnacentral:misc_RNA from 1 species
GAUGAAGAACGUAGCGAAAUGCGAUAAGUAAUGUGAAUUGCAGAAUUCAGUGAAUCAUCGAAUCUUUGAACGCACAUUGCGCCCGCCAGUAUUCUGGCGGGCAUGCCUGUUCGAGCGUCAUUUCAACCAUCAAGCCCCAGGCUUGUGUUGGGGACCUGCGGCUGCCGCAGGCCCUGAAAACCAGUGGCGGGCUCGCUGUCACACCGGGCGUAGUAGAUUUUAUCUCGCUCAGGGCGUGCUGCGGGUCCCGGCCGUUAAAAGCCUUUUUUUACCCAAGGUUGACCUCGGAUCAGGUAGGAAGACCCGCUGAACUUAAGCAUAUCAAUAACCGGAGGA